AGGAGGGUUAGCAUACUGAGUCUGAGUGCUGUUUAUGGUUUGCGUUCCACAACUUAAGUUACGUCUCCUUCAAGACUUCAGUAGAUCCCUAGAUUUCUAGACUAAAGUUGUAUAUUGUCUUUCUCUUCUCUCAUUGUGUAGACCAUGCCUCUGAGGUGUAUAUUGUCUUUCUCUUCUCUCAUUGUGUAGACCAUGCCUCUGAGGUGUAUAUCGUCUUUCUCUUCUCUCAUUGUGUAGACCAUGCCUCUGAGGUGUAUAUCGUCUUUCUCUUCUCUCAUUGUGUAGACCAUGCCUCUGAGGUGUAUAUCGUCUUUCUCUUCUCUCAUUGUGUAGACCAUGCCUCUGAGGUGUAUAUUGUCUUUCUCUUCUCUCAUUGUGUAGACCAUGCCUCUGAGGUGUAUAUCGUCUUUCUCUUCUCUCAUUGUGUAGACCAUGCCUCUGAGGUGUAUAUUGUCUUUCUCUUCUCUCAUUGUGUAGACCAUGCCUCUGAGGUGUAUAUCGUCUUUCUCUUCUCUCAUUGUGUAGACCAUGCCUCUGAGGUGUAUAUCGUCUUUCUCUUCUCUCAUUGUGUAGACCAUGCCUCUGAGGUGUAUAUCGUCUUUCUCUUCUCUCAUUGUGUAGACCAUGCCUCUGAGGUGUAUAUCGUCUUUCUCUUCUCUCAUUGUGUAGACCAUGCCUCUGAGGUGUGUCUCGUCUUUCUCUUCUCUCAUUGUGUAGACCAUGCCUCUGAGGUGUAUCUCGUCUUUCUCUUCUCUCAUUGUGUAGACCAUGCCUCUGAGGUGUAUAUUGUCUUUCUCUUCUCUCAUUGUGUAGACCAUGCCUCUGAGGUGUAUAUCGUCUUUCUCU